AGGACAAGGCAGUGGGCUGACUGCCACAAGCUCUGGCCAGGUGAAUGUGACAUCGAGGUUCAGCUGGAGUUGUCUCUGCUCAUUAAGAAGUAUUUUUCUAGAGAGGCCAGACUUAGAUGCAGCGCUCAGCCUCAGAGAUAGUGUGGCUGCGGUUGCGGCAAGCAAUGUCUCAGAAGCCCAGAGGGUAAACACACGCAUGGUGCUGUUCCUGGGACCAUAUGCUUUCUCUUCAUUGGUAAGAUCCGCCCUGCGGGGAGUUUUGGAGAGAGGAAAUUUACCCCCAGAAUCUUCCCUGGCUGUCUUGCCAUUUCCCUGCUGAGACAAGAGAGUCCCGAGAAGACUCUUCAGACACCACAUUCUUAGCCAACGUCACAAUUGCAAGAUCUCUCACACAGAUGCAGAUUCUUCAGAGAACUUUAGUUCACACCACAGAGAGAUGAUCACAUGAAAUAAUAUGGACCAAAUAACUUACCUCUUUGAAGGCUAAGGUCAAAAGCCUUUGAGCCAAAGAGCACUCUGAGACCAUGAUAUCCAGCUCUGUGUCAAGCACUGGAUUAAUGAUACAGAUCAAUGCACCCCAUGUUGUGGGGUGCAAAAGUGUCUGUGAUGAAACAUAGUUUUCAGAUGCAAUGGGUCUGGAUGGAGCUUGGAACUCACAGUUACCACAGGUCUCAGGAGAUAGCAUGGCUGGGGCAAUGAGGAACAUGCUCUGGGAAGAAUGAUUGAAUGAUGCUACUCAAAACAUGACCACUAAAGCCUCAGGCCCUGUCCCGAUAAUCCUACCGAAUCUGAAUUCGUUGGGGUAGGGCUUAUAGACGAUGUUUUAACAAAUGCUCCAGCAAUUCUUACACUUUCCAAAGACUGAGGAGCCCUGGUAGAGUCAUCAAGUUUCACCAAGGCCAGAUGGGUUGCGUUCAGGCCAUGUGUCCUUUUCUCAGCAAUCUGAGCACCCAGGCACUCUAAGGCCUUUGUCAUUCUCGGGGCCUGUCAACUCCAUAUCAAGGGGCCUGGUUCAACUUCUCCAACAUCAACAGACAAAUGACUAACCAGGUGCCCCAAGGAAAUUCUGACACUCCCCCCAACAUGCUAUUAGGAACAGGCUGAAUCAGGCCCGAAAGAAAAUGAUGACCAGAAAAGCACAGUGCUGAUUCGAGCCAGAUUGAUGGCUAUUCUUAUUGUAAUAUUCAUGAUGAGCAGAGUCUUUGUAAUGGAUUUAGCAGAUGUGGACAACCUCCUGCCAGACUCCCUCUGUCUGAAUGGAAACUGCAAUCACCCAAUAUGUUUCCCCGUCCUCUGGCCUACGAUUGAGUUGUCACCCUUUCCCAGACACUCUCCUCCAGGCGCCCCAGAUGGUACUGGCUGACACACUCCAAGGAUGUCAUUAUGAACACGUGGAAGCCACAUGAGGGUGAGGGGAAUGGGCUUCUGGAGAUGAAAUGCCUGGCACAACCCUCACCCCCGAGGGCCUUGAGACACUGCUGGGAGGAGCAGAGGUAUCAGAAUCAGAGAGAGAGAGAUGUCCCUGAAAAUCACAAAGACUAGAAGGGAAAGCCUUCAAAUGUGUUAACUGUUGAUCUCUGGAAUUUGCAAAAUUAGACUCAUUAUACCCCAGUCUCUCCAAUCACACCACAGAGGAUCCAGACAACUGGAUGACCAGAGGUGAAUAAAAUGUCUAACCAGAAGAUGUCUCCACCUUGAAGAACGGCUCAGGUCUAGCCCUUGAUUUGGACUUCAAUUUGGACUCGAAGUUAACACAAAUGAGCAAGCAUUCUUGUUUGUGGUUCCAGCACCGCAAAAUUCGACUUCUUCUCAAGGGAAGGUGGCCAUGAGAGAAAAGCCCUUUAGAGGUUUAGUCCCAACGGAUCAGAAGAAAACGCAUGUGCUAACAGAGUAAAGGAGAAAGUACCACAAUGUUUGUGUUUCAUGACUUUGGAUGGGAGUCAGAUGUGAUGUGUGUAAACAUUUCCACAUCCCCAAAAGACAGAAGGUGUGGCGGCUCUCUGGAGAGAGGGUAUUUAUCCAUCCAAUCUCAGCAGCUCCUGUCUCACCUGA